rnacentral:rRNA from 1 species
GACGAACGCUGGCGGCGUGCUUAACACAUGCAAGUCGAACGGAAAGGCCCUGCUUUUGUGGGGUGCUCGAGUGGCGAACGGGUGAGUAACACGUGAGUAACCUGCCCUUGACUUUGGGAUAACUUCAGGAAACUGGGGCUAAUACCGUAUAGGAGCUCCUGCUGCAUGGUGGGGGUUGGAAAGUCUCGGCGGUUGGGGAUGGACUCGCGGGUUAUCAGCUUGUUGGUGGGGUAGUGGCUUACCCAGGCUUUGACGGGUAGCCGGCCUGGGAGGGUGAACGGCCACAUGGGGACUGAGAGACGGACCAGAGGCCUACGGGAGGCAGCAGGGGGGAAUAUGGCACAAUGGGCGGAAGCCUGAGGCAGCAACGCCGGGUGCGGGAUGACGGCCUUCGGGGUGUAAACCGCUUUCGCCUGUGACGAAGCGUGAGUGACGGUAAUGGGUAAAGAAGCACCGGCUAACUACGUG